CAGGAAAUAGUUUAUAAAAAAUAUUAGUUUUGGGGACUAAAGAAGGAACCGUGUUUUUUUCCUGA
rnacentral:tRNA from 1 species